CCUACGGGGGGCAGCAGUAGGGAAUCUUGCGCAAUGGGCGAAAGCCUGACGCAGCAACGCCGCGUGAACGAGACGCCCUUCGGGGUGUAAAGUUCUGUCAGUGAGGACGAAAAAUGACGGUACCCACAGAGGAAGCACCGGCUAACUCCGUGCCAGCAGCCGCGGUAAUACGGAGGAUCCGAGCGUUAUCCGGAUUUAUUGGGUGUAAAGGGUGCGUAGGCGGCCUUUUAAGUCAGCGGUGAAAGCCUGUGGCUCAACCAUAGAACUGCCGUUGAAACUGGGGGGCUUGAGUAUGGUUGAGGCAGGUGGAAUGCGUGGUGUAGCGGUGAAAUGCGUAGAUAUCACGCAGAACCCCGAUUGCGAAGGCAGCCUGCCAAGCCAUGACUGACGCUGAUGCACGAAAGCGUGGGGAUCAAACAGGAUUAGAUACCCGUGUAGUC
rnacentral:rRNA from 1 species